CCUACGGGAGGCAGCAGUGGGGAAUAUUGGGCAAUGGGCGCAAGCCUGACCCAGCAACGCCGCGUGAAGGAAGAAGGCUUUCGGGUUGUAAACUUCUUUUCUGAGGGACGAAGAAAGUGACGGUACCUCAGGAAUAAGCCACGGCUAACUACGUGCCAGCAGCCGCGGUAAUACGUAGGUGGCAAGCGUUAUCCGGAUUUAUUGGGUGUAAAGGGCGUGUAGGCGGGAAAGCAAGUCAGAUGUGAAAACUCAGGGCUCAACCCUGAGCAUGCAUUUGAAACUGUUUUUCUUGAGUACUGGAGAGGCAGACGGAAUUCCUAGUGUAGCGGUGAAAUGCGUAGAGAUUAGGAGGAACACCAGUGGCGAAGGCGGUCUGCUGGACAGCAACUGACGCUGAGGCGCGAAAGCGUGGGGAGCAAACAGGAUUAGAUACCCCGGUAGUC
rnacentral:rRNA from 1 species